UACGUAGGGUGCGAGCGUUGUCCGGAAUUACUGGGCGUAAAGAGCUCGUAGGUGGUUUGUCGCGUUGUUCGUGAAAUCUCACGGCUUAACUGUGAGCGUGCGGGCGAUACGGGCAGACUAGAGUACUGCAGGGGAGACUGGAAUUCCUGGUGUAGCGGUGGAAUGCGCAGAUAUCAGGAGGGACACCGGUGGCGAAGGCGGGUCUCUGGGCAGUAACUGACGCUGAGGAGCGAAAGCGUGGGGAGCGAACAGG
rnacentral:rRNA from 1 species